CCAGAUUUUCCUGUGCCUUGUGCACUGGCUGAUUUUGCUGGUGCUGCCUGGUGCUCUGCAGCCCUUCAGGUCUCAUCCAGGGGCUCUCCAGCCAUCCAUCCACAGGCACCACGUCCUCCCCGAGCCUCUUAACCUUGUGCAUGUUUUUAAAUGAUGCCAUUGCCUUUGGCUUGCACAGCAUUUUAUUUGUUCUUUAUAGCCCCGCUCUCACACAGGGUGGAUGCUGCUUGGAGAGAAAUAGAUGCUGUGGGGGGGAGGACGGGCUGGCUCUCGAGGUUAACCCUGGCUUUGACAUUGACUCUCCACAGGCCAAGUGUCCCCUCUGCCUGUAAAACAGGGACAAUGACAUUUGCCUGCUGCUGGAGAAGCUGGGAGAGGGCAUCAACCAUCUUAGAUAAAAAGCAGCUUUUUAAACAAGGUGUCCCUACAAGUGUGGGGAGAGGGAAAUUAUAAAUCAUAGAAUCAUUAAGGUUGAAAAAGACCUUAGAGAUCAUCAAUUCCAACCAUCAGCCCAGCACCACCACUCUAUUAUGAGCUCAUAUUGAUCACAAUAUGAGCACAUCUGGGGUGCACAAGGCUCAUGUGCCUUUGGGUCACCUCUAGUGCUUGAUACAAACACUGACCACAAAGCCCAAGGCAGAGGGGUGUCUUCUCUGCUUUCAGGGUCUGAGGAAUUUGGCUAAAUUCAGCCCAACCUCAGCGUACACAUCUGCUCCCUCCAGGGCUGUGUGAGUCACAGCGCUGCUCCGAUGCCAGUGAGGGUGAGGAGCCAGCAAAACACCCUGGCACUUGUUCUUUUCCCUGCCAAGAAAGUUACAAGAGGUGCUGGAUGCUGCUCUUCCCCGCUCAAGAGCCAAAAACCGGGGUGAUGGAUCACCUCGAGGCAGUGAACGCAGCACGCAGCUUCCCAAGGGACACCAGGCCAGAUUUCUCCACAGUGGCAGACCCCAAGUCAUACCUGGAGCCAGCCCAAGCCAGCUGGCCAGCCCAGGAGGAAGAGGAGCUAAUGGAUCCCACCGGCUCUCACUCAGCAACAAACAACAGCGAUUAACACGAAGUGCGAGAGACUAAUUGGACAUUUAACCCAACUCUGGCACCGCAGGCCUCGUGCUGUAGCUGAAGAGAGGAAAGACAGGCCCAGUCCUCAGCUGCAAGGCCCUCUCCUGAGCCCAGAGCUGUAACCAGAUACACCCCGGUUGUACCCCGGCUUCCGACAGCCAAUUCCCCCCUGAGGGAUGCUCACGUUUGGUGAGUGGAGGAACAGGAGGAGAGAGGAGCUUCAUGGAAGUUGACAUGAAUAAAAACAUUCCCAAUA